UACACUCCAUAGUGUUUUCAAUGACUAUGACCUUUUCGAAGUAGUUUGCCAGGGCUUUCUUCGCAGGUGCCUCUGGGUAAAUUCAAACUGGCAACCUUUCAGUUAGUAGCUGAGCACUUAACCAUUUGCACCACAAUGGACUGAUGAAGUAAACUUCAAUGAAAAUGGCCUGGAGAACUGUGUUGAGAAUGACACUGAAGCAGCCUCAGAGCUAAGUGAAAAUCAAUGGUGUGAUUGAUUAGUGAUGUCUGCCAUGAUGUGGAAUGGGAGAGUGAGAGCCUAAGUACUAAGUCUUUCCUACAUUGGAGUUUCUUUCUUCUUUGCUACAGGAAAAGCGCCACCUUAAAUUAAGAGGCUUGUGUCUCUGUCUUGGAAACCUAAAUAGGAAAAUGGCAACAAGUAAAAAAAGAGAGAGCAAAAAUGAAUAGUUGAUGAGGAGAAAAAAACGGGGAAAAUUGGGAUGAAGAGAGCAAAGACAAGAGUGCUACAAGGGCAGAGAAAUAAAAUGGCUUAUGCUGCCAAAUUCUGACUUAGCUUUUAAUGGGAACACAUAGAUAUUCAUGUGUAUCUUCUGUUUUUACCUUCAAUAUUAAAAGGAAUCAAGACACCACCAUGUCCUUAUUUCUGUGUGCAAUUCACAGAUAUUCCUGAUAGGAAGAACUGUCUCUGAGGGAAAGAAGCUGACAAAGCAACUCUCAAAACAUUAGGUUAGGAAUCAAGAGUUCAGAAAAGAGCAUACUAUCUCUUUAAGAACUGAUGCCUUCCAGACUGUCCAGAAUAAAAUUUGUUCCAGAGUCUGUAGAAGUCAUAGUUUUCUGAUCCAUUUGUUGGUUGUCAGUUUUCACACCCAUCUCCUAAACCAAACCAAAACAGUUGCCAUCAAGUCGAUACCAACUCAUGGCAAUCCCAUGUAUUUCAGAGGAGAACUACACUCCAUAGGGCUUUCAAGGCUGUGACCUUUCAGAAGCAGAUGGCCAGGCCUUUGCUCCAAGGUGCCUCUGGGUGGGUUCGAACCACCAACCUUUCAUGAAUUGUCAAACACCUAGCCCGUCUCCUAGAUUCCUGUUAAAAUACAAGAAAGAGAAUGACCCCGCAACAGAAAGGCAGAAGUAGGAAACACCUGGGCCAGCCUCAAGCCCACACAGACCUUAAUUUAAGACAUGAAUCAUAGUUUGGCUCCUCAUGAGGUAGUGUGAGAAGGUUACACGUGCUCAAACUGAGAAAGAAAGCAGAUGCGGGACUUCCCUCUGGCCUCUUAUUUGAGGAAGUGAAAUCGCUCUUUUGCAAGGCAGUUGCAUACAUUUAGUCGAAGAGUUGCCUUUUUCUUUUGGAGACCAAAGUUUAAUGUUAGACUCAGCCCAUGACUUGUGGACUUUGGCCUUCUGAGGAGCUUAUGCAAUUUCAUAAGCAUUUCUGUAUGGGAAAAAAGUAAAGCAAAUGGCUGGUGAGCACAGUGAAGCAGAAAAUGUCUGGGCAAAAAAACACUGGCCAAGUUCUGGCCACCACUUCUUCACAUAUGACCAUUAUGGGCAGCCCUUCCUGCUCAUGGCAUGCAAAUUUAAGGCGAGCCAAAAUUCCCAUUGCUUGGGCUUCUCCUUUCAUUGUCUGCCCAUUGAUUGAAAAGAGAAGUUCCUUGGACACAGUCAACUCAGAGUCCAUUAGCGGGGGUGGAUUACCCAGUAAGCAAGGUAAGGACGGCCUUACUAGUGCAUAUUUACUAACCUACAGUGAACAAUUUCACACGUUUUUCACCACGUGAGUGGUGAAAUUGUUCACUACAGAUAAGUAAAUAAGCACAAGUAAACCCAUGCUUACCUUGUUUAUUGGGUAAAAAUUACAGGAAUCAUUUGCUUUACUAUUUUUGUAUUUCAGAUGAGCUUUUGCUAGUUUAUUCUUCUGAGCUCAAAAGUCAUGAUUAUCUAGUACCCACCCCCAUGUUUGAUACUUAGUGCCCUGAAAACCCUAUGGAGCAGUUCUACUCUGCACAUACAGGGUCACCAUGAAUUGGAAUGAACUUGACGGCAACUAACAACAACAGGGUCCCAAUAAAAAUGUGUUAAAUGAAUAAAGGCAUGCUCAUUGUUGCAAAUGCAGGAAAGUAAGAAGAAAAAUUAAAAUAAUUUAUAAAAUCUAAGUCAAACACAAAAAGACAAAUAUUGUACGAUCUCACUAAUACGAAGAACCUGGAAUAGACAAAUAUAAAGAGACCAGAGUUUAAUAGGAGUUACCAGGGCUGGAAGGGAGGGAGGAACGGGAAAAUUAUUAGACACCGUUGGGCGUUGAGUUUUUGCUUACGGGGAUGGAAAAUUUGGCAAAGGAUAUUGGUGAUGGUUGCACAACAUGACUGAUGUCUCUGAUCUCACUGAAUUGUCUGCGUGAAAAAUGUUGUGUUAUCUGUAUUUUUACAGCAACUAAAAAAAAAUCUAACACCCAGGUAUAACCAAAAAACCAAACCCACUGCCAUCGAGUCGAUUCCGACUCAUAGUGACCCUACAGGACAGAGUAGAACUGCCACAUAGAGUUUCUAAGGAGCACCUGGUGGAUUUGAACGACCGACCUUUCGGUUAGCAGCCAUAGCAGUUAACCACUAUGCCACCAGGGUUUCCUCCUCAGGUAUAAUCACUGUCAAUAUGCUGGUGUCAUCUCCCCAGCUAUAUACGUUUGUACAUACCUUAGAAUGUGCUGUUUGUACAUCUUGCUUUUUUCACUUAACACCAUGACUUGAGAACUUCUCAUGUUAUUAAAAGUAUCUUGAAAAUUAUACUGAAAAUAUAAUUGUAUUGGCUGAAAAAAAAUUUUUUUUUGUUAGAACAACGCAGCAAAAUUAAAUUCCAGUUUAUUGUUGGACAACAUUGUUUCAUACGUACAUCAUCGAACAGGCCAAUAAAUAAAUAAAUAAACAGUAACUUCAUAGACAAAAAAAGGAAAAAAAGGGAAACCUUUUAUCUUUGGUCUUUUUAACCAUCUCAAACAAACCAACUACUUAUAGUAUAGCUGAGUGCAAACAACAUACACAACAGAAGCUAUUGGAGUGCUGAGAAUAAGAUUGUAUUUUGUCGUUGUCUUUGCUUUUCUUUUACAGGUUUUUCUUUUUUUUCUCUCCUUUAAGAUUAUAACGAACAAGGUCACACCACAAGUAAAUUCAGAGAAGGCCAAAGAACACUAUGAAGGCUGGUUUGGUCAUCCGAAAUCAUUAAAAAUGGCUGACCCCAAUGAUAUAUACAAAAAUAUAAAAUAAUUGUGAGGUCUCAACAGAUUCUAAUGAAGGGAAAACAAAGGUUAAGAAAUUUCCAGCAUGUCCCCAGCACAGUACAGCCUCAUACGCAUGUGAAAGCUGCACAAUGAAAAAAGAAGACAGAAGAAGAAUCGAUGCAUUUGAACUGUGAUGUUGGCAAAGAAUAUUGAAUUUAUCAUGGACUGCCAGAAGAAUGCCAGAAGAAUGAACAAGUAAGUCUCAGAAGAAAUACAACCUGAAUGGUGCUCCUAAGAAGCAAGGAUGAAUGACUUUGGCUUGCUUAAUUUGGACAAGUCAUCAGGAAAGACCAACCCCUAGAAAAAGAUACUACGUCUGGUAAAGCAGAGGGUCAGCAAAAAUGACGGAAACCCUCAAUGCCCUGGAUUGACACAACAGCCACAACAAUGGGCUCAGACAUAUCUAGGAUCAUGAAGAUGGCACAAGACCAGACAACAUUUUGCUGUUAUACAUAAGGUUGCCAGGAGUCAGAGCCAACUCCACGGCAACUAACAAUAACAACAAAGACAGAGCAAAUGAAUUGUCGCUUUUCAAAAAAAUAAGCAACGAAGAGCCACUUAACAAUGGAAUGAAUAACUAAAGGUAUAAUAGUACAUACCAAGGUAUCUGUUGCCUGCUACAUGUGACAUGUACACACAUAUACACACCCACGCAGGAUGUGCAGGCUUACACACACAAACAGGAUAUGUAAGUGCGUAUACACAUGUGUACGUAUUACCUUUGAUUCUUGUCUACUGUCUGCUUUUGAUAAAUCAAAAUCUAGAUUAUUGUGUGGAUUUUCUCUUUGCCUGAGCAUUUCUGAAAGGAAACAGAGACACAGUGAGGGCCCCCCACUGCCCUCACUUUGAAUGUUAGGACAAGGCAGGCUGAGGUUUCCUGAGGUAUAGCAAACAGAAUCCUCUUCAGACCCCUUCAGCUCUGCCCCAGAUAAUGCAAUCUCUAAAGUCACAGCUAUUAGGUGUUAUAACAGUGAAAUCCCACAAGACUCCAGCAAAGAUUUUCACUGCUUUUUUACAUGUGAACAACCUUCACUGUCAGGUGACUAGGAAGUCCAGGGCUUUGGCCUUGACCUACAGCUGGUGUGGGUAUGGCAGAGACAGCAGUCCCUUGACAAGGGUGAUGUUGCUAUUCAGCUUUGCAUUUCCAGUAAAAGAGAACUGAUACCUGAGUCCCAGAAGAGAGAGUAGGGAAAAUUUGAACUUCAAGUCCAAGAGGGUCAACAAACAGCAAAAGCAGAGUACAAGGGUACAGGACCCACAAAGAAAGGUUGGUUUAGCUGGGGGAAGCUAGAGAGUUUCAUGGAAAAAGCAGUAAGGUACUUGGGAGCAGUUUUUUUGAGUGCUUACUACUGCUGCAGAGUGAGGGGGUGGGAGAGGGUGGGGAGAA